ACCCUUUUCAUAUGGGCGCGGCGUCCCUAUAUGAGCUGUGCCGGUUUCGACCGGCUAUGAUGAUAAAUUAUGCCGUGUAAUAGGCGCAGCGGACCCGGGGGCAGUACCCGGCGGCUCCACCAUAGCAGCCGGUCCCAUAGCGGGGCGGCGGCUUUGAUGGGGCCGAACCAGGAUCGACGUGUGUUGAAAGACGGUGUUUUCGUCCGGGCUGAGUAACCCGUUCAAGGCUCAAAACCUAUAAGUGCCAACGAUAACGAAGCACUUGCUCUUGCUGCGUAAUUGAGGGCCUCACGGCCUGACAUUACCCAAAUAGAACGCGGUUGAACCCACCGGGCAACAGAAGGGAAUUCA
rnacentral:tmRNA from 2 species